rnacentral:lncRNA from 1 species
AACAUGGCCGGCACGCCCCGGCGCCUCCACGUGACUACCAUGGGCCAAUGGGGAGCAGGCAGCGCGCUUCGGCGGUUCGGGGGCCGGGCCUGUAAAUUUAAAAUCUGGCCCUUGGGCAACCGUCAGCUCGGCCCUCCCGGCUGGGCGGUUCCCGGACCAGGCUCAGGGCUGUAAGGAAGGACGCCUGGGACUGCCCACCCGCGCGGCUCUGGGCCCAGGGCCCUCCCGCCGCCCCGCGGGGACCCCUUGGAGGGGCCGGGCCUGAGAAAGGCGGGAAGGAGCCCGGAGGUUUCCGGGACGGAUCUGCGCCACCGCCCACACUCGGCGGUUCAGGGAAAUUCAAAUAUAAACGUCCCUAAAAGCCACACGCGAAACUCAGAGUGUCCCCGGCCACCGCGGGCGUGGUAACCUUAUCCCCCGCUCCGCUGGAGGGCUCGGGAAACGGCCUGGAGGCCGGGACGCUGUGGAAUUACGUAAUAGGCACUUGAGUCCGAGGUUCCAAAUGCACGGCUUGCAGGUUCCAAGUACCAGCCUUUAUUUUUCUCUCCGGUGGAAAACUGUAUCAGGCAACUUCUUUCCAUGAAAGUGAGAUCUGUGCGUCUUGAAGCCGAUAGAUUAUCACAGAAAAACCAGCAACCCUGAUUUUAAAUCAUUUGCCAACAGUGUUAAUGGGCGGUUCCUAAUCCGUUUCUUAAUUUAAGGGUUUGUAAAAUCAAAAAACAGCUCAGAAAUGAUACGAUUAACAUAUGACGAUUUAAGUUGGGUUGAUCUCAAAGUGAAGGAUGGAGAAAUGAAUUCUCUAUUGUCAUAAGGAAAAGGGAAGUCAUGAAGUUAGAAGGAAGAGAAAGGAGCUCCAGCCUUGCAUUCUUUGGGUGUGGAGAGGAGCAGAGCAGAAUGGAGCCUGCAGGUCAUGCCAGGAGUCACCGCAAGGCUGUGGCUGUCAGCUCAGAAUUCCAUCAUCACUUGGGAGAUUUCUGCGAAUCAUCACUAAAGCCAUUCACUUUCUCAUAACUAAACAAGAAUCUUCUUCUGGAGUUAAGUAUCAGAUAUGAAUGUUCUCACUGACCUCAGGAAGCAAAAGUCCUAAAUCAUUAUAUGGCAGUGAAGGUACAAAAAAAAAAAAAAAUCAGCAGGAAAUAAAGCGGAACUGCUGCCAACACAUACAAGCUGCAGUAGCACCCACAAAAUGUGUAGUAUCUAUUCUAACACAUUCAUUGGACUGAUUACAUUGGCUCAUAGACUUGGUUAACUCUGGAAGAACAUAAUAGGUGUUUAUUGUUUACUAUGGGGAUGGGAAACAUAAUUAAGUCUAUAGUCUCCAAUUCUUCUCAAGUUCAAAUGAAACCAACACUUUUGGUUUUGUCUUAAC